UCUAUUCUGUUGAGGAAAAUCCUCUAUUCUGUUAGGGAAAUCCUUCCUCCUAAUUCCUAUAAAUAGGAGAGGGAACAUGUUAAUAGAUUUAAGCUAAAGCUAUUUCAUUUCUACAAUAAAGCUUUUUCAAUUAUUGUUCUUAUCUUCUAUUAUUUCUAUCAUGGUAUCAGAGCCGCUUGCCUAGAGCAAGCUCUCUUCUCGCUGCCAAUUCAUCAUUGGUGUUGCCACUCUGCGCCAACGUCCGUUCCCUUCCGCUACGGCAUCUCUAGUGCUGCUCAUCAGUACUGCCCCACCUUUCUUCCUCGUUGUAGCUAUUUUCCUUCCUCUUCUGCUAUAGCUUCCUCUUCUACUACAGCUUCCUCCUCUGUUGCAGUUUCCUCCUUUGCUGUAGUAGCAUCACUGCAACAUUGCUGUAGAUUUCUUCUCUACCGUCGCAGCCGUAACAGCAACAGCGAUCUACACUUAUCUUACUCAUGAAGCCUCUCGCUUGUAAACAAUUCUUUGCAUCGAUCCAAGAUUGGUAUCCUUGUCAGGAGCACCAUCUUGCGGGGGCAUGAUAGAAGAUAAGAUUUUCCUAACUAUAUGAGGAAAUUUCUCUAUUCUGUUGAGGAAAAUCCUCUAUUCUGUUAGGGAAAUCCUUCCUCCUAAUUCCUAUAAAUAGGAGAGGGAACAUGUUAAUAGAUUCAAGCUAAAGCUAUUUCAUUUCUACAAUAAAGCUUCUUCAAUUAUUGUUCUUAUCUUCUAUUAUUUCUAUCACAUUUGGUUAUCUAUCUGAUUUUUUUUUUUUUUUGCAAUUUCACAUCUAUAUGAUUUGAUAUAUUUUAUAUCAUACAUGCAGAUUGUGUCUUUUUAACGUUAUCUAUCUUAAUUACUGUAAUAUUAAAUUUACAUGCAAGCAUUGAAAUAUGAUAGUUACAGCAUUUAUCUAUUUUUAAUAAUUAUUUAUAAAUACCUUCUGUUGUAAG
rnacentral:lncRNA from 1 species